rnacentral:misc_RNA from 1 species
GAAAUGCGAUAAGUAAUGUGAAUUGCAGAAUUCAGUGAAUCAUCGAAUCUUUGAACGCACAUUGCGCCCGCCAGUAUUCUGGCGGGUAUGCCUGUCCGAGCGUCAUUUCAACCAUCAAGCCCCCGGGCUUGUGUUGGGGACCUGCGGCUGCCCGCAGGCCCUGAAAACCAGUGGCGGGCUCGCUGUCACACCGAGCGUAGUAGCAAUCACCUCGCUCAGGGCGUGCUGCGGGUUCCGGCCGUUAAACAGCCUUACAAAACCCAAGGUUGACCUCGGAUCAGGUAGGAAGACCCGCUGAACUUAAGC